rnacentral:lncRNA from 1 species
CCCGCCCUCUCUCUUUUCUGUUUUCUCUUUUCUUUUUUUCUUUUUCCUCUUUUUCUUUCCUUUUUUUUUCUUUUCUUUCCCUUCUCCUAUUUAUACCUCACCUGCCUCUCAAAACGACGUCGUUUCCCCCUCUUUUUUUUUUCCAGUUACUACAUUUUAUCCUCCACAUCACUCUCAUCAUCCAUUUCAACACCAUCACCACGCAUCACCAUUACCCUUUUAUUUGGGCAUUGAGAUGCAAUAUGACCAAAACUCAAACAUCUAAAAUACUUGAUAUCUCUAUUUUUAGGAGUUUGAGAGUUAGAAAUACUUUUAUUUUUAUUAUCAUUAGCAUCUUUUGGCUUGAUUUUGUCAUCUCUUUUGAAUUGGACAGCUUUGUUAUCUCCCCUCCAAUUCGGCCUCUAGUUGGAAUUUUGGGCCGAAUAAGUGUUGGCUUGCUUUGUGUUCCCCUUUUGCUUUAAUUGUCUUUCAAUCUUUAUAGCAUGUGCACCAUAUCAUCAAUCUCUACAAAAUGUUGAAGCUCUACAAUGUUGGCUAUGUCUUUGUUAAGGCAAUUUAAGAAUCUUGCCAUAGUAGCUUCCCUAUCCUCUUCAAUAUUAGCCUUUAUCAUGGCUAUCUCCAUCUCUUUGUAGUCUUCUACACUCUUGUUCUCUUGUAUAAGGUCUUGUAAUUUUUGAUGUAAGUCCUUAUAGUAGUGAGCAGGAACAAAGCGCCUUUUCAUGGUAGCCUUCGUUUCGGCCCAAGUGGAAAUAGAUUUCUCUCCAUUUCUCCUUUUACUUGUGAUGAGUUGAUCCCACCACACAAUGGCAUACUCUCCAAACUCCACGGCCGCGAGUUUUAUCUUUUUCUCCUCUGAAUAAUUGUGGCACUAAAAAAUAAGCUCCACCUUGUACUCCCAUUCAAGAUAAGCAUUCGGAUCAUUCUUGCUUAGAAACGAUGGGAUUUUCAUUUUGAUGCUCCUAAUGUUUUUAUCAAGAUCAUUUCGACCCCUACCAUAAUUUCGACAUGCAUUGACCAAGGUAGCUUUGUCAUCAAAUUCUUCCUCCACUUCCUCAUCAAAAGGUGGUGUUGGAAGUCUUCUUGCCCUUGGAUUGGUUUGGGAAGCUUCAUCUUUCAUGGAAUUUAAUUCACUUUGUUGUUUCCCUAGUUUCUCAUUCAUGUUGCCAAUAGUUAGUUGAAUCCUCUCAAAUUGUUGUUGUAUUGUUUUGAGGAUGAAUUCUUGAUUUUUUGAUGUUCUUUCACUCUCUUAUGGCUCCAUCUUCAAAUAUGAAAUUUUAAUGACAAAUAAAAUAGAUUGCAACCUCACAAAUCACUCCCUCACGUGUUUACUCUUGUA